rnacentral:rRNA from 1 species
GAUGAACGCUGGCGGCGUGCCUAAUACAUGCAAGUCGAGCGAACGGACGAGAAGCUUGCUUCUCUGAUGUUAGCGGCGGACGGGUGAGUAACACGUGGAUAACCUACCUAUAAGACUGGGAUAACUUCGGGAAACCGGAGCUAAUACCGGAUAAUAUUUUGAACCGCAUGGUUCAAAAGUGAAAGACGGUCUUGCUGUCACUUAUAGAUGGAUCCGCGCUGCAUUAGCUAGUUGGUAAGGUAGCGGCUUACCAAGGCAACGAUGCAUAGCCGACCUGAGAGGGUGAUCGGCCACACUGGAACUGAGACACGGUCCAGACUCCUACGGGAGGCAGCAGUAGGGAAUCUUCCGCAAUGGGCGAAAGCCUGACGGAGCAACGCCGCGUGAGUGAUGAAGGUCUUCGGAUCGUAAAACUCUGUUAUUAGGGAAGAACAUAUGUGUAAGUAACUGUGCACGUCUUGACGGUACCUAAUCAGAAAGCCACGGCUAACUACGUG